CCGUCGGUGGCGCGGCACCAUCUUGGGGAAGUCGGGUCGCUCCGCCCGGAGGAAGUUUUCCCUAAGGCUGGAGCCCAACUUCAUCAGAUGGGACCACGUUUCAGCUGGUUUCUGGACUAACGCGCCGAGUGUCCUCAUACACCACUGCUCCCGGGUCAGACACCGAGGCUGCUGCGGAGCUUAUUUAAGUCCACUGGAAAAUUCCCUGCCUAAUAAGGUGGGCAAAGUCACAACACGGAGGAGAAGAAGAGGAGGAGGAGGAGGAAGAGAGAGCAAGAGAGAG
rnacentral:lncRNA from 1 species